rnacentral:tRNA from 1 species
AGGGGUGUAGCUCAGUGGUAGAGUGCUUGCCUAGCAUGCAGGAGUCCUGGGUUUGAUCUACAGCAUUGCAG